GACGUAGGGCGCGAGCGUUGUCCGGAUUUAUUGGGCGUAAAGAGCUCGUAGGCGGCUCGUCGCGUCGGCUGUGAAAUCCCGAGGCUCAACCUCGGGUCUGCAGUCGAUACGGGCGGACUGGAGUUCGGCAGGGGAGACUGGAAUUCCUGGUGUAGCGGUGAAAUGCGCAGAUAUCAGGAGGAACACCGGUGGCGAAGGCGGUUCUCUGGGCAUUACCUGACGCUGAGGAGCGAAAGCGUGGGGAGCGAACAGG
rnacentral:rRNA from 1 species